CUCUCCCCGCCCCCGGCGGCCCAGUUUCCUCCCUCUCACCCCCGGCCGCGCCGGAGGAUGCUGGACCGGCACAGAUAAGAGCCUGGCCGGCCGACUGGCCGCGCCUGAUAAGGAGCCGGGCUGACCCCGGAGGAAACCGGCGGGCGGGGAUCUCCGAGCGCUGGCCUCACAGCUCCGCCCCCGGCCGGCGAGGGACGGAGCGGUCCCCCGGGACCUCUGAGGACCCCGACCCACUACACAGCUGGGAGUGAAGCGAGGGGAAGCAGCAGGCCUGCCGGCCUCAGUGCGCUCGCCAGAGGGGCCGCAGAGCAGGAAGCACCUGGCCUGGAGCGGAUGCACAAGGCGCCUGGUUCCGGUCCGGCUUCCGCCCCCGCGGCCCCGUGGGGAGCUCCGCCAGAGAACCAGGCGGCGACGCGGGUCAGGGGAAAUGUCUUGAGCCGGGCAGCCCGCUGGACUGGGUCCUCUGCUGGCUCUUUCCUCUUAUUCUGGUGCAGCCUGCGUCUCUCCUCCAUAGCUCCGCCAGCUGCCUUGCC